rnacentral:rRNA from 1 species
UACGGGGGGGGGCAAGCGUUGUUCGGAAUUACUGGGCGUAAAGGGCUCGUAGGCGGUCUGUCGCGUCGGGAGUGAAAACUCAGGGCUUAACCCUGAGCCUGCUUCCGAUACGGGCAGACUAGAGGUAUGCAGGGGAGAACGGAAUUCCUGGUGUAGCGGUGAAAUGCGCAGAUAUCAGGAGGAACACCGGUGGCGAAGGCGGCUUGCUGGGCCUUACCUGACGCUGAGGAGCGAAAGCGUGGGGAGCGAACAGG